rnacentral:misc_RNA from 1 species
AACGCACGAGACCUGCGGACCUGCGGAGGGAUCAUUACCGAGUGAGGGCCCUCUGGGUCCAACCUCCCACCCGUGUUUAUCGUACCUUGUUGCUUCGGCGGGCCCGCCUCACGGCCGCCGGGGGGCACCUGCCCCCGGGCCCGCGCCCGCCGAAGACAUCACUGAACUCUGUCUGAAGAUUGCAGUCUGAGUAGAUUAGCUAAAUCAGUUAAAACUUUCAACAACGGAUCUCUAGAUCGG